CCCUCGCCGGAAGACCAAGGUUUUCAGGGUAAAGCUUGUCUUCCCUGAGUAAGCCGGGACCUAAGCCCAGGCUAUAAUGCGUAGGCGAAUGGAAAACAGAUUAAUAUUUCUGUGCCAGUCAUAUAUUGUGAUGGAGGGACGCAGAAGGGUAUGCGCGCGGACGAACGGAAGUGUCCGUAGAAGUAUGUAGGAUGACUUGAUAGGAAAAUCCAUUGAGUUAUAUCUGAGGUAUGAUAUACAGUCGUAAGAUGAAUGUGCAAAUCCCACGCUGCCAAGAAAAGCUUCUAACGUUAAUAUUUGACUGCCCGUACUGUAAACCGACACAGGUGGUCAGGAUGAGAAAUCUAAGGCGGACAGGCUAACUCUCGUUAAGGAACUCUGCAAAAUAACCUCGUAACUUCGGGAGAAGAGGAGCCCUUGGGUGUUAGUAUCCAUGCGUUACAAAGCACUCGAGGGUCGCAGUGAAGAGGCUCAAGCAACUGUUUAACAAAAACACAGGUCUAUGCUAAGCUGGAAGGCGAUGUAUAUGGGCUGACACCUGCCCAGUGCUGGAAGGUUAAGAGGAGGAGUGAGAGCUCCGAAUUGAAGCCCCAGUGAACGGCGGCCGUAACUAUAACGGUCCUAAGGUAGCGAAAUUCCUUGUCGGGUAAGUUCCGACCUGCACGAAUGGUGUAAUGAUUUGAGCGCUGUCUUGACGGGAGGCCUGGUGAAAUUGUAUUACCGGUGAAGAUACCGGUUACCUACAGUAGGACGGAAAGACCCCAUGGAGCUUUACUGUAGCUUGGUAUUGGGUUUUGGCAUUGCAUGUAUAGGAUAGUUGGGAGACUGUGAUGAUAUGGCGCUAGCUGUAUCGGAGUCAUCGGUGGAAUACCAACCAUUCAAUGCUGAAAUUCUAAUCUGUGGUUUGUAGCCACGGAGACAGUGCUAGGUGGGCAGUUUGACUGGGGCGGUCGCCUCCGAAAGAGUAACGGAGGCGUUCAAAGGUUCUCUCAGGUUGGAUGGAAAUCAACCAUAGAGUGCAAUGGCAUAAGAGAGCUUGACUGCAAGACUGACGGGUCGAGCAGAUGCGAAAGCAGGACAUAGUGAUCCGGCGAUUCCGAAUGGAAGGGUCGUCGCUCAACGGAUAAAAGCUACCCUGGGGAUAACAGGCUGAUCCUACCCGAGAGUCCAUAUCGACGGUAGGGUUUGGCACCUCGAUGUCGGCUCAUCGCAUCCUGGGGCUGGAGAAGGUCCCAAGGGUUGGGCUGUUCGCCCAUUAAAGCGGUACGUGAGCUGGGUUCAGAACGUCGUGAGACAGUUCGGUCCCUAUCCACUGUAGGCGUUAGAAUAUUGAGAAGACCUGUCCUUAGUACGAGAGGACCGGGAUGGACAAACCUCUGAUGUACCAGUUGUCACGCCAGUGGCACAGCUGGGUAGUCACGUUUGGAAUAGAUAACCGCUGAAAGCAUCUAAGCGGGAAACUAACUUCAAGAUAAGUAUUCUUUAAGAUACCUUCGAGCCUAGGAGGUUGAUAGGUUGGGGGUGUAAGUGCAGCAAUGCAUUUAGCUGACCAAUACUAAUUAUCGAAGUUUUAAUC
rnacentral:rRNA from 1 species